UAAGGAAUAUUGGUCAAUGGAGGCAACUCUGAACCAGCCAUGCCGCGUGCAGGAAGAAGGCCCUAUGGGUCGUAAACUGCUUUUUGAACAAGGGAAAACCCCGGUACGUGUACUGGGUUGAUAGUAUUGUUAGAAUAAGCAUCGGCUAACUUCGUGCCAGCAGCCGCGGUAAGACGAAGGAUGCAAGCGUUAUCCGGAUUCAUUGGGUUUAAAGGGUGCGUAGGCGGACUGAUAAGUCAGUGGUGAAAUCUCUCGGCUUAACCGAGAAACUGCCAUUGAUACUGUUAGUCUAGAGUACAGAUGAUGUGGGCGGAAUAUGACAUGUAGUGGUGAAAUACUUAGAUAUGUCAUAGAACACCGAUUGCGAAGGCAGCUCACAAAACUGUAACUGACGCUGAGGCACGAAAGUGCGGGGAUCAAACAGGAUUAGAUACCCCCGUAGUCCCUGAGCGGGCUGGCAAGGCGCAU
rnacentral:rRNA from 1 species